CUUGGAUUCGGUCGACGAUGCACGUUUCUUUCGGUAAUCCUUAAACUCUUCGCACCCAGCGGUGGGGGCAGCUGUUUCAUUCGGUGUUUCGGCAAUGCUUGACGGGCAUAACAUGCUUGUUGGGGGUUGUAGUUCGCUGAUUGGAAUUGUUGCUCAUUGUACGUGGUGGUGCAUGAGUCGUAUCACGAUCGUUUGGGUAGGCAGGCUCCGUGCUCGCGCAUCGAAUUGCUUCCCCGCGAUCCUUUCAGUCCUAUCCCAAGUGAAUGUUUUGUAAGUGGGCAAAUGUCGGGUUCCUGUGUUGCAUACCCACACUAGUGGAAUUCAAUGAUGUUGCUGUCCCAUAUUUCGCCUUUGUGCCUCCUUUGGGGCAUCGGGUGAACAUUGUAGCGGUACCUGUGUUCCAAACAUGCUGUUUCGGCUGUUGUGGCCCAUGGACUGUCACUCGUGCUAUCGGAUGCGGAAUGCUAUGCGGGCGGGAGGGCGGAAAUCAUCCUCCAUUAGCCCAUUGUUUCCUAAAUAUGAACGACGGACGCUCUCGUUUCGAG
rnacentral:lncRNA from 1 species